AUGAGCAAGACCAAGGACCCAGGACCCAGGUAUUGUACCAGGACCAAGGAUCCAGGACCCAGGACCCAGGCCUUCCACCAGGAGCCAGGACCCAGGACUCAGGACCCAGGCCUUGCACCAGGAGCCAGGACCCGGGCCUUCCACCAGGACCCAGGAAUCUGGCCUCGAACUAGGACCCAGGACCCAUGUCCUUUCACCAGGAGCCAGGAGCCAGGACCCAGGCCUUCCAUCAGGAGCCAGGAGUCAGGACCCAGGCCUUGUACCAGGAACAAGGAUCCAGGACCUAGGACCAAGGCCUUCAUCAGCAGCCAGCACCGAGGACCCAUGCCCUUUCACCAGGAGCCAGGACCCAGGACCCAGGACCCAUACCCUUUCACCAGGAGCCAGGACCAAGGACCCAGGACCUUUCACCAGGAGCCUGGACCAAGCACCCAGGAUCCAGGUCUUGUACCAGGACCAAGGAUCCAGGACCCAGGACCAAGGCCUUCAUCAGAAGCCAACACCAAGGACCCAGGCUUUGCACCAGCAUCCAGGAGCCAGGACCCAUGCCCUUUCACCAGGAGGCAGGACCAAGGACCCAGGAUCCAGGUAUUGUACCAGGACCAAGAAUCCAGGAUCCAGGAGUCAGGACUCAGGCCUCUCAUCGGGAGCCAGGAGUCAGGACCCAGGCCUUCUACCAGGAGCCAGCCCUAGGACCAAGGCCUUCCACCAGGAACCAGGACCCAGCACCUAGGCCCUUUCUCCAGGAGCCAGGACCAAGGACCCAGAAUCUAGGCCUUGUACCAGGACCAAGGAUCCAGGAGCCAGGAGUCAGGACCCAGACCUUGCAUCAGGAGCCAGGACCCAGGAUCCAGCCUUUCCACCAGUACUCAGGACCCAGAACCCAGGGCUUCCCACCAGGAGCCAAGACCCAGGAUCUAGGCCUUGUAGCAGGACCAAGGACCCAGGACCCAGGACCAAGGCUUUGUACCAGGAGCCAGCACCCAGGAGCCAGGACUCAGGCCUUCCACCAGGAGUCAGGACAAAGUACCUAGGCCUUGUACCAGGAACAAGGAUCCAGAACCUAGUACAAGGCCUUCUACCAGGAGCCAGCACCUAGGACCAACGCUUUCCACUAGGAACCAGGACUGAGUAAUCUGGUCUUGAACUAGGACCCAGGACCAAGGAUCCAGGACCCAGGCCUUCCACCAGGAGCCAGCUCCUAGGACCAAGGCCUUCCACCAGGAACCAGGAACCAGGACCCAGGAAUCUGGCCUUGAACUAGGAUCCAGGACCCAUGCCCUUUCACCAGGAGCCAGGAGUCAGAACCCAGGCCUUGCACCAGGAACUAGGAAGGAUGACCUAGGACUCAGGCAUUCCACCAGGGGCCAGGACCCAGGAUCCAUGCCUUCCACCAGGAGGUAGGACAAAGGACCCAGGAACCAAGCCUUCUACCAAGAGCCAGGAUGGAUGACUUAGGACCCAGGCCUUCCACCAGGAGUCAGGACACAGGAACCUACACCUAGGCCUUCCACCAGGAACUAGAACCUAGGAUCCAGGCUCCAGGCAUUCUACUAGGUCCCAGGAUCCAGGACCCAGAGCUUCCACCAGGACCCAGUACCCAGGCCUUGCACCAGGAGCCAGCACCCAGGCAUUGCACCAGGAACCAGGACCCAGGAUCCAGGACUCAGACCUUGUACCGGGACCCAGGACC
rnacentral:lncRNA from 1 species